AUCACAUUACUACCUUUUAAUUUACUUAUCAUAUUUUGUUCACCGAUUUUACAUUUUUUUUUUUUUUUUUUUUUUUUUUUUUGUGUCAUUAACAUUUAACCAUUAUAGAGAAAAGUAAUAAAGCAAAUAGCAACAGUAUUAAAAAAAAAAAAGAAAAACUUUGAUGGCAUAUCAUUUUUUUAAGAAGUUACAAAAAGUAAAGAAUAAAGAAAAAAAAACUAAUAACGAAAAUAAAAAUGAAGAUAUUGAUAAAUGGAUAGAAGUUGUGAGUAAUGUAGUUGAUAAGAAUUUUGUUGAGUAUAACACUUUUAUAAGUGAAGAUAGUGAAGAUGUUAUAAAUAUUUAUGAGUAUGUAGAAAAUAUAAAUAAUAUUAUUAAAUAUAGUGAAAAAGUUAAAAGUUUAAAUAAUGAAGAAUUAAAAAAUGAAAGUAAUAAUAUAGUUUAUAUUAAACAACUUUCUAAAAUUUUGAACUUAAUAGAUGUUUUAAAUAUAUUAUUUACAAAAAGAAAUAUUGAUGAUGUAAAUACUAAAAAUAUUAUUAGCACUAACACCAGUAAUAAUAGUAGUAGUAAUAGUAGUAGUAGUAGUAGUAGUAGUAGUAGUAGUAGUAGUAGUAGUAAUACUAGUAAUAGUAGUAACUGCAACAGUAACAGUAACAACAGCAGCAGCAGUAACAACAACAGCAGCAGUGACAACAACAGCAGCAGUGACAAAGCGACUGAUAACGACAGUAAUGAUUAUUUAAGUUCAUCCAUUUCAUCAAAUUAUAUAAAAUCUAAUGAAUAUUAUAAUGAAAAAAAAAACAAAAAUAAUAAAAUCGAAUAUUUUGAUGAAAAUAUAUUUUUGAUUAUGUAUCGAAAUAAUAAAUUAAACAAUAUAAGAAAUAAUAUUGAUAAAUUAAUACUUAAAGAAAUUAAUUUUUUAUAUAAAUUAUUAAACAUAAUAGAAAUAAAUGAAAGUGCUUAUAUAGUAAAUGAAAUAAUGAUAUUAUUUAUUUUGUUAGUAAAAAAUAAUAAUGAAAUAAAAAAAAUUAUAACAUAUGAAAGAAUAAUUGAAUUUAUUCUUAAAAUGAUUAAAGAAGAACAUAGCUAUUUAUUUAAAAAUGUUUCUGAUUUAUUUUUUUUAUAUAAUGACAAUAAUUUUGAAUUACUAAAUGGAUUUAAUUGUGUUAUAAACAAUUGUUGUUUAAAAAAAGGGGUAAUAGAUAAAGAAAAAAAAAAAUGAAAAAAAAAGUGAUAAAAAACAAAAAGCAAAAUCAAUUGAGCUAAAUUCCGUAGCAACUAGUAGUUGUUUUAGUGAUAAUGAUAGUACCAACUUUGAUAAAAAUAAGUUUAUAAUAAAUAUAAAAAAAGAGUCA
ensembl:lncRNA